AUGAUGAUAUUAUUUCCAAUGAUAUAAUUGAAAAGUUUUGUAAGUUUAUGAAGAAGGAAAUAAAGAAGGAAGAACCAAGUCCUUCAUGUCAAAAGUGUGAAAAACUUAGCCACACCAAAUCACAUUGUCCAAAAUCAAAGGACAAGAAAAAGAAACACCAUAGACGCGUAACAUGGGAUUCGGACAGCUCGGGUGAUGAAACUGCCGCAUUAAGCCUCAUGGCCAACGAAGAAGAACAGGUAAGUAUUUCUAACUCUUACUCGUUAGAAGAAUUGCAAAAUGCUUAUGA
rnacentral:lncRNA from 1 species